UACGUAGGGGGCAAGCGUUGUCCGGAAUCAUUGGGCGUAAAGAGCGCGUAGGCGGCCCUGUAAGUCCGCUGUGAAAGUCAAGGGCUCAACCCUUGGAUGCCGGUGGAUACUGCAGGGCUAGAGUUCGGAAGAGGCGAGUGGAAUUCCUGGUGUAGCGGUGAAAUGCGUAGAUAUCGGGAGGAACACCUGUGGCGAAGGCGGCCCCCUGGUUGGAUACUGACGCUGAUACGCGAAAGCGUGGGGAGCAAACAGG
rnacentral:rRNA from 1 species